UACGGAGGGUGCGAGCGUUGUCCGGAAUCAUUGGGCGUAAAGGGCGCGUAGGUGGCUUCUUAAGCGUGCGGUGAAAGCCUGGGGCUCAACCCCGGGUCGGCCGUGCGAACUGGGGGGCUGGAGCACUGUAGAGGCAGGCGGAAUUCCGGGUGUAGCGGUGGAAUGCGUAGAGAUCCGGAAGAACACCGGUGGCGAAGGCGGCCUGCUGGGCAGUUGCUGACACUGAGGCGCGACAGCGUGGGGUGCAAACAGG
rnacentral:rRNA from 1 species